UCCACCCAGUCAUUAUCUACAUCACAAGGGUGCCCCACCCUAGCCCUUUGGGUCCCCACAUGGGGACCAGGAAAGCUAUGAAUGCAGCCUAACAUAAAAAUGACCUGGCUUCCUGGAGGAACUAUGGGACAUGACAGAGAAGAACCAGGAGUGGGAACUGAAGCUGGGGAAAUCUUGGAUGCUGAGCACCUCUCCUGAAACCACAGAGCGCUACCUAAGGGGACUGUUAAGUUAUUGGAUCGGACAAAGGCUUAAACUAGAGUGGACAUUUAUUUGAUUCUUUCUUCCUUCUACCAAGUGGGCCAUGGCUCUUAAGGGAUAUUAAGUUAAGUGGACAAAAUGAAGAAACUACAUUUUCCCUGCAUAAAUAAGCUCCGUGAUUCAGCUCUCCCAUCAGCACCAGGCCUUGCCCUGAGUACUGGGGACAAAGUGAUGAGUCAGAGCCAGGCUGCCCUGCAGGAGCUCACACAAGGAAGAGGGAGAUGUGCCCAGAAAUAGCUCCAGGACAAGGCAGAUGGGCACCAUGAGGUGACAAAGAGACAGAAUGGGAGAAGACACUGGCUGGGAUCUUGUCUGUCGGAGAGGAUCCUUCAACCAAGAAAGAAAGGUUUAGUAAGACCCUCAUUGGGGCUAUCAGGAAGGUGUCACAGGCCUGAGCAACUAUAGACAAACACCGAAAACAUCACAGGGACAAAGUGAGUCAUCAUAAAUGACUGGAAUUACAGAAGGGACUCAAUGGGUGUCAGACUCUGGUCUGACUGCACAUGCACCAAGCAUCCAUCCCUUGCAGAAGGACAUUCUGACACCUGAUGACACCCGUGACAUCUCCACAGAGCUCUCGCCCACAUUUCCCUCAGCUUUGUCAUGCUUUCUUCAAAAACGAAGUGUUUGUGUGUGGAGCAGUGAAUGGAAAACAGUCUGAGAAAGAAUUGCGUUUUACUGAAAACACAUGGAAUUUCUUGUUAUUAUUCCCUAGACCACACACUGUAACCACCAUUUACACAGCGUUUACACUGGAUCAGGCACCAUCAGUAUCAAUAGAUGUUUACAGUGUGCAGGAGGGAGUGGGUAGGUGGUAUGCCAUUGUGCAUAAGACUCUUGAGCAUUUAUGGACUGGGUGUUUGAGGGGUUCCUGGGACCAAGGA